GAGAGGAAAGGAUGCCACAUUGGUUUGUGUAAGGAUGGCUUCGUUCUGCACUUCCAUGUGAGCCAGGAUCCUCGGCUGACAAGUGACAGAGAGUGAGUCCAAACAGGCCCGCGCCUUGGAGUUGUGGUUUAGUCAGCAGCAUCCUUGCCUAGCGGGCACACAAAGCCGGGGGUUUGACCUUUAGCCCUGUACAAACUGAGUGUGUCAGCCCUUGAGACGUGGAAGCAGAAGAAUCUGGAGUGUAAGGCUAUCUUUAACUACACAGUAAGUUCAAAGCCAGCCUGGGUUAUAUGAGACCCUGUUUUGUUAAAAUAAAUAAAUAAAUAAAUAAACUGAAUAAACUGUGUUUGAAGAGCUAUGGUACAGAGCUCAGCAGUGACUGACAGAAAGGGAGACGUGAGACUUUGGACAAAAGCAAGAACCAGGGAAGCUCUAGGCUUCUGAGGGUGGUAAUCAACCCUUGAACAUCUUUAUUGCAAGUCCCAGUGGGGGGAGCCAUGCCCCUCCCUCGCAGGCUGUCACAUCAGGAACUCUGUCUGCGUCCCCCUCCGGCCGUCACCACCCAUGUAUCUGAGGGCUGCGACAUGGGCAGAAAAAUAGAAGUGCUAGGGUGUGCACUGGAAGUCUCCCAGGACCAGGACCAGGACCAGCCUCAGUCAGCUGUCUAAGAAGGCUGGGGAGGAUGUACUAAGGGUCAGGCCAGAGGACUACAGAGCUCUGAGCACCAAAGAUAAGCAUUUGCUGUUCUGCUGAGUUUUGACAUGUGCAAUACCAGGGUCCUUGGAAAGCAAGACCACUGCCUGCUACACUCAACGUUCCCAGCACGUGACAGGCAUCUCAUAAAUCCAUUCCAAUGAAUGAAAGG